rnacentral:rRNA from 1 species
GACGAACGCUGGCGGCGUGCUUAACACAUGCAAGUCGAACGCUGAAGCUCAGCUUUUGUUGGGUGGAUGAGUGGCGAACGGGUGAGUAACACGUGAGUAACCUGCCUCCUUCUUUGGGAUAACGCCCGGAAACGGGUGCUAAUACUGGAUAUUCACUGGUCUUCGCAUGGGGGUUGGUGGAAAGGGUUUUUCUGGUGGGGGAUGGGCUCGCGGCCUAUCAGCUUGUUGGUGGGGUGAUGGCCUACCAAGGCUUUGACGGGUAGCGGGCCUGAGAGGGUGACCGGUCACAUUGGGACUGAGAUACGGCCCAGACUCCUACGGGAGGCAGCAGUGGGGAAUAUUGCACAAUGGGCGCAGGCCUGAUGCAGCGACGCCGCGUGAGGGAUGGAGGCCUUCGGGUUGUGAACCUCUUUCGCUCAUGGUCAAGCCGCAACAAUGGUUGUGGUGAGGGUAGUGGGUAAAGAAGCGCCGGCUAACUACGUG